rnacentral:rRNA from 1 species
GACGAACGCUGGCGGCGUGCUUAACACAUGCAAGUCGAACGGAAAGGCCCUGCUUUUGUGGGGUGCUCGAGUGGCGAACGGGUGAGUAACAUGUGAGUAACCUGCCCUUGACUUUGGGAUAACUUCAGGAAACUGGGGCUAAUACCGGAUAGGAGCUCCUGCUGCAUGGUGGGGGUUGGAAAGUUUCGGCGGUUGGGGAUGGACUCGCGGCUUAUCGGCUUGUUGGUGGGGUAGUGGCUGACCAAGCCUUUGACGGGUAGCCCGCCUGAGAGGGUGACCGGCCACAUUGGGACUGAGAGACGGCCCAGACUCGUACGGGAGGCAGCAGUGGGGAAUAUUGCACAAUGGGCGGAAGCCUGAUGCAGAAACGCCGCGUGCGGGAUGACGGCCUUCGGGUUGUAAACCGCUUUCGCCUGUGACGAAGCGUGAGUGACGGUAAUGGGUAAAGAAGCACCGGCUAACUACGUG